AGAGUUUGAUCAUGGCUCAGGACGAACGCUGGCGGCGCGCUUAACACAUGCAAGUCGAGCGAGCAAUGAGUCCUUCGGGACUGAGGACAGCGGCGAACGGGUGAGUAACACGUGGGUAAUCUGCCCUCGAUUCUGGGAUAGCCCGGGGAAACCCGGAUUAAUACCGGAUAGCCUCUCUGGCCUUCGGGCCGGUGAGAAAAGGUAGCUUCGGCCUCCGAUCGAGGAUGAGCCCGCGGCGGAUUAGCUUGUUGGUGGGGUAACGGCUCACCAAGGCGACGAUCCGUAGCUGGUCUGAGAGGACGAUCAGCCACACUGGGACUGAGACACGGCCCAGACUCCUACGGGAGGCAGCAGUGGGGAAUCUUGCGCACUGGGCGAAAGCCUGACGCAGCGACGCCGCGUGGGGGAAGACGGCCUUCGGGUUGUAAACCUCUUUCGACAGGGACGAAGCCACUCGGGUUAAUAGCCCAGAGGGUGACGGUACCUGCAGAAGAAGCUCCGGCUAACUUCGUGCCAGCAGCCGCGGUA
rnacentral:rRNA from 1 species